ACGAACGCUGGCGGCGUGCUUAACACAUGCAAGUCGAACGGAAAGGCCCUGCUUUUGUGGGGUGCUCGAGUGGCGAACGGGUGAGUAACACGUGAGUAACCUGCCCUUGACUUUGGGAUAACUUCAGGAAACUGGGGCUAAUACCGGAUAGGAGCUCCUGCUGCAUGGUGGGGGUUGGAAAGUUUCGGCGGUUGGGGAUGGACUCGCGGCUUAUCAGCUUGUUGGUGGGGUAGUGGCUUACCAAGGCUUUGACGGGUAGCCGGCCUGAGAGGGUGACCGGCCACAUUGGGACUGAGAUACGGCCCAGACUCAUACGGGAGGCAGCAGUGGGGAAUAUUGCACAAUGGGCGGAAGCCUGAUGCAGCAACGCCGCGUGCGGGAUGACGGCCUUCGGGUUGUAAACCGCUUUCGCCUGUGACGAAGCGUGAGUGACGGUAAUGGGUAAAGAAGCACCGGCUAACUACGUG
rnacentral:rRNA from 1 species